UGGCGAUGAGAUAAAUUUAAGGCUUGUUUCUCAAACAUUCUCAGUUGCCACCUAAGAGCUUUUUCCCAGCUAGACUUUAGAGUUAAUGCUGCUAAUUCCUUCCUUGGAUGUCUGAGCCU
rfam:Triticum aestivum genome assembly, contig: Triticum_aestivum_CS42_TGACv1_scaffold_063157_1DL